CCCGGAACCGCCUGCCCCUGCGGCCAGGCCGGGGGGUUUCCAGGUCCGGGGUGUUCUGCGGCUCUUGGGGACAGGGCCUUGAGCGUCCUCCUCCCUCCAGGGCCCUGGGGCCCCUCCUGCUCCUGGCCCUGUGGCCGACGUCCUCCUGGCCACCCCGGCCCCGCUGAGUCCCGGGAAUGUCACCAAAAUGACUUAUGGAGAGUCCAGUCCAUGCUGGCCCUGCGCCCAGGAGAGGGCAGCGGACCGGACCGGGACAUGUCCUGCCCUCUCGGCAGGGACAAUCAGCAAGUAGACCAUAAACCAACCAGACAAUGUCACUCACGGAAAGUGGCAUAAAGGAAAUAAACGAGAGAUGCCAUCACGGCACCAGGGUGAGCGGAGGGCAUCGCCUGGAGGGGUCAGGGAAGGCCUCCGGGUGACACCUGAGCCGGGGCUCGGAUGACCAGAAGAACUAUUCGAAGAUCUGGGUGGGGCUGCACCCUCCAGGCCAGCGGAGGGUGAGGCAGACGCUGG
rnacentral:lncRNA from 1 species